UGAAAAUGAGACAAAAAUUUUCAUACACAGAUCUGGUGAAUAGUAAUGAUAUUCUUGUGCUUCUUGGUUUUCCAUUCAGCUUGGUGCCUGGGACAGACUGCCCCUUGCCCCUUCUGGGAACACUACUGUUUCAUAAAUAAGGUGAAAGAGUAUUCAAUAGCUAUAAGUCAAAUUCAUUGGCUUUUUAUUGCCUUAUUCUUUAAUGCAGCAAUUGCUCUCUCUAGCAGGAAGAUGCUUUUCACUAAUAAGUGAAUUAAAAUUUAAGAUAUAUAUAUAUAAAGGAGGAAGGGAUUUGAAAAAUCUUGUUAAAUAUUUAUACAGUUUUAGUUUGGAAAGUAUAUAUAGUAGA
rnacentral:lncRNA from 1 species